CCAAAAAAUUUCCGAAACCAAACCGAAAAUCCCGAAACGUAUGGUACCCAAUACCGAACCAAACCGAAAUUUUCGGUAUGGGAAUCGGUUUCAAGUCUUCGUUUUUUCGGUAUUUCCAAACCAAACUGAAAUAAAAAAAAAAUAUUAUUUAAUUUUUAAAUAUAUAUUUGAAAUUGUAACAGCCGUUGGAUUCGGUUGAGAUUUAAUCUCAACCGUUGAAUAGAAAUCAAACCCUACACUUUACACUAUGUCUCUCCCGUCUCUCUCGACACUCAGUUCACUCACUCUUUCUUGCGGCUCUCCUCAGACUCAAACCCUCACCUCACCACCCUUGUCGCCAAUUUUUCUGUCCUUUUUCGAAUCCGGCCACAUAAGUGACUCACUUAAGUCACAUCUCUCUCAACUAUCACUUCUCUGAUCUCUCUCUCAGUCUCUCUCGACUUCUCGUCCCACACAGAGUCACAAUGGAGGAUUCUUCCUUCACAAAUCACGACCACCAGCGUCAUUCUCCUUCUCAGUCUCUCUCGAUUCUAGUCAUCCAGUGCACUGUGCAAUUCUCCACCAAAUCAGCACCAUAAAUGUAUUUACAGUUUGCAUUUGGUUAAAAGCGAGAAAGGAGGAAGCACGCAAGCAAGAAAUUGAGGUUGUCCAGCGUUUUCAAGAACUUUUUACCCAAACGAAGUACAAAGAAGCUACUGAGCUUGCUGCGGAUACUGUUGCUAAAUUUCGGGUUCCCAUUUUGCUUAUGUAUUUGUACAUGUUUCUUUCUUUAAGCAGUAUUUCUCUCUUCAAUUUUUAGUACAAUAGCCCAAAAGUCCAAAACUAUUUUGGGAUUUCCAAUUGUCCCGAAACUAUUUCGGGAUUCCCGAAAAUUUGGUUUGGGAUCAAUAUUGAAUUUGGGAUUCCCGAAAACUUCGGUUUGGGAAUCAGGACUUGCAUUUCAAUUCGGUAUUCCAUACCGAACCAGCCCUAAAUCAUAUUAGUCGACAU